AAGUGAAAAAGACUAAGUUUGACGUGUAAUUAAAAGGGGUUUGUUAGAAUGGCAGGGAGUCAUUCAUCUCCAGCAUGAGCUGUUAAUGGCCUCUGGGUUUAGUGAAAGAGAGAAGAGAGAAAUGGAGGGAGAGAGGGAUGGUGAUGAGAAGAAGAAGGGUGAUGAGGAGCACUGGGGCAGGAGAUCUGGAGUGAGUGCAGGUAGAUAGGAGGAAAGCCCUAUGAAAUGUUCUUUAUCAGGCAGAGAGGCAUGGAGGUGCCAGGAUGUGAGUGAGAGGAGGGGAGGGAGUGUGUGUACAGUGAUCAGCCAUCAUAUCCUCCCAGCAAGCUGAGCCUAGGGAAGGAUGAUCAGGAGGUCUCUGGAAGAAGAAACACAACAAGCAAGUGAACAUAGCCUCUACACUCACCUCAGGACAGGGACACACACAACUGGACACUGCUCUGCUAAGGUCUGUGACACUACUCAAUAAAAGCCUCCCCUGCUGCUGCAGACCACUGUCCUGUAUCUGCUCAACUAAAAAAAUAUGAACAAGUCAUGAAAAAUGAACAAGUUUCCCAGUGGGGGAGGAAAAAAAAAAAAGUAGUUUUUUCCCUAACGAAGUUCUUCGGAGUUCAGUGAAAAGGACCGCAGCCCUACAGACCCCUGUAUAAGGAGACCUCAUUAUUUAGAUAGACAUCCAUUUAUACAACUAACCCUAAACUGAAAGCAGCCCGGGAGAUGACAAAUCUCCAGCCCUAAACCGCACCACCAGGACAAUCCACUCCACCACCGCAGCCUAAAGAUUCCUUAUUGAUUUAACGAUGUGAGAGUCUCUGUCAGGUCCACAGAUGGAUUCCAAAGAAAAAUGAACUCUUUGCACAUUGAUUCUUCAUUAAAGUUGCAUUUAUGUGUUUGCUAAAUUGGUUUAGAAAGUCUAUUUGUGCCUUAAUAUUAUUGUCAGACCUGCAGCUUGUGGGCAAACUUUACAGGUUGAGAUCCUAUUAGGCGCCACAUGCAUAGGGAGCGCACAAUUCAUUUUUAAAUACCUAUUAU